AUACUAAUGUGAUGAGAACAUAGUUCAAAUGACGAAUUUAUGAUUUUGAGAACUUAAAAUGUCUUUCGCUCCUAUCUGAAUUAGUUU
rnacentral:snoRNA from 1 species